GAUGAACGCUGGCGGCGUGCCUAAUACAUGCAAGUCGAGCGAACAGACGAGGAUCUUGCUCCUCUGACGUUAGCGGCGGACGGGUGAGUAACACGUGGAUAACCUACCUAUAAGACUGGGAUAACUUCGGGAAACCGGAGCUAAUACCGGAUAAUAUAUUGAACCGCAUGGUUCAAUAGUUAAAGACGGUUUUGCUGUCACUUAUAGAUGGAUCCGCGCCGCAUUAGUUAGUUGGUAAGGUAACGGCUUACCAAGGCGACGAUGCGUAGCCGACCUGAAAGGGUGAUCGGCCACACUGGAACUGAGACACGGUCCAGACUCCUACGGGAGGCAGCAGUAGGGAAUAUUCCGCGAUGGGCGAAAGCCUGACGGAGCAACGCCGCGUGAGUGAUGAAGGUCUUCGGAUCGUAAAACUCUGUUAUUAGGGAAGAACAAAUGUGUAAGUAACUAUGCACGUCUUGACGGUACCUAAUCAGAAAGCCACGGCUAACUCCGUG
rnacentral:rRNA from 1 species